UACGGGGGGGGCAAGCGUUGUUCGGAAUUACUGGGCGUAAAGGGCUCGUAGGCGGCCAACUAAGUCAGACGUGAAAUCCCUCGGCUUAACCGGGGAACUGCGUCUGAUACUGGAUGGCUUGAGUUUGGGAGAGGGAUGCGGAAUUCCAGGUGUAGCGGUGAAAUGCGUAGAUAUCUGGAGGAACACCGGUGGCGAAGGCGGCAUCCUGGACCGACACUGACGCUGAGGAGCGAAAGCCAGGGAGCAAACGGG
rnacentral:rRNA from 1 species